UGACAGGUUGUUGGGUUCAUUAAGUUCUCACGAGUAGAGAAUGAACCAGAAGGAUGGAACCUUUCAACCACAGCAGGCAUUAUAGAGUAAUUUCAUACCAGGAAGUCGCGGUAGCAAUGGCGGUCAUAGGCGCAAUGGCGAACGAGGCGGCAACAAAAGAAAGGCAAAUAAUUCUUCUGGAAGGAUCUUCGAUAAAUCAAAGGUCAGAUGUUACAACUG
rnacentral:lncRNA from 1 species